rnacentral:rRNA from 1 species
AUUGAACGCUGGCGGCAGGCCUAACACAUGCAAGUCGAACGGGUGGCGGACGGGUGAGUGAUGUCUGGGAAACUGCCUGAUGGAGGGGGCUGACUACUGGAAACGGUAGCUAAUGCCGCAUACCAUGCGAUGUGCCCAGAUGGGAUUAGCUUGUUGGUGGGGUAACGGCUCACCAAGGCGAAGCUCCCUAGCUGGUCUGAGAGGCGGACCAGCCAAACUGGAACUUAGACACGGGCCAGAACCCCAAGGGAGGGAGCCGGUGGGAAUAUUGCACAAUGGGAGCAAGCUCUAUGCAGCCAUGCCGCGGGUAUGAAGAAGGCCUUCGGGUUGGAAAGUACUUUUAGUGGGGAAGCGGUACCCGAAGAAGAAGCACCGGCUAACUCCGGGCCAGCAGCCGCGGUAAUUC